UACGUAGGUGGCUAGCGUUGUCCGGAUUUACUGGGCGUAAAGAGCGCGCAGGCGGUCGUUCAAGUCGAGUGUGAAAGCCCCCGGCUCAACUGGGGAGGGUCACUCGAUACUGAUCGACUUGAAGGCAGGAGAGGGAAGCGGAAUUCCCGGUGUAGUGGUGAAAUUCGUAGAUAUCGGGAGGAACACCAGUGGCGAAGGCGGCGAUCUGGGAAGAUACUGACGCUGAGGUGCGAAAGCGUGGGGAGCAAACAGG
rnacentral:rRNA from 1 species